AGAAUUUGAUUAUUAGAAGGUUGGCUUGUGAAGUUUGUGAAAUAUUUUAUAACUGAAUAUUUAUAAAUUGAAUACUUUGUGCGAGUUAUUUUAAUCGGAAAACUUUGUUCUCUCUCUACAAUGGAUCCUACAAUAACCAAAUAAAUUAUUGUACGUGUAAAAACAUGUAGUUUUAGGGAGGGUGUUGAAGUGGUCACCACUUCUACGAAAACUCCACAUCUGGUCUUUUUAGUUUUCUCAAGCGCUGAAGCCAUCGACAGCAUAUAGACAAAAGACUAGCAUGAAGGCAGACCAUAAACAAUAGACAAGCGACGUUGGCUUCGGGAUUUUCAGUUAUAAGG
rnacentral:misc_RNA from 1 species